AUCAACAGGGAACUGAUGGUGAACACACUCUGCGCACAAAGUUGUCUUCAGGUGUUUCUUGAUGCUAAAAGGAAGAGGAGAUCCAGUCUACCGCACACACCCAGGAUCACAACUAUUGCAUAACAUGUUUUUAUCCUGAGGAAACAGAAGAAAUCGACCCAACUCCUCCAACCUCACAUAUCACUGCUGCUCAAUGUAUAAAACACUGUGUCUAAGUGUUUGAAGGCAUUUAGAAGAUAAGACGGAGAAAAUACGACAAAAUUGAAUAUAUUGGGUCAGAUUCUAGCCCCUUUGUAGCCAAAAGGACCUGAACUAUCCCCUGGAGAAGUCCCUUAGUGCAGAAAUAGCUCAGGGCUGGUGUAUGCAGCCCUACUUCAUCCCUGCUUGUAGCCCCCAGCACAGAGGUAUGCCAGGGCAGGUGCAGGGGCCAGAGUGCUCUAUGCUCCAGUUAUUCCGAGCUGCAGAGCAGCACAUAGGCAGCCAUACAUAUUAAAUACAUUUACGAACAGCCUUUCCCCUCCCCAUGCGCCUUCUGUGCUGCAUUUCCUGGGAGGCAUGUCAUAAAUAACUGGUCCAUUGUGUAUAACAGAUUUGGUCUCCCGCAGUCAUAUCUACUCUUGCCCUCUCUUCACAGAUUUUAAUAUAUUGAGACAAAUUUGCAAUAAAAACUUAAAAAGGAACUAACAAAAAGCAUUUGGAAUAAUGAGCAUCUCCUGAUCUCUCACUGUUGUAACCCUUGUUCUCCCCCACUCUUUGUCUGUCAUCCUUGCCAUUGUCACAUCUAAUUCACCUUCUAGGCAUCUGUAAAGUGCCAUGCACAACUAUAGCAUUCAUAUAUAAAAGAGUGGUAGUAGAAGCAUUCAUGAUAUUUAGUAUUACAUGCCCUGCAUCAAGUUUCUUUCCAUGUUAGAUGGGUGUUAUUUGAGAGACUAGCUGGUUCAAGUGAUUGAUAAUGAGAGAUAAAACUUUUCACUGUGAUGAUCUGGGGAAUCUGUACAGCUUAUUAAUUCUGUUUGAUAUUGGAAACUGUAUCAAACUGCAAACGCCGUUUUGAAUAUGAGGCUUGGUUGCAUUCUCUGUUGUUCUUUUAUCUCCCUGGAUGGUCCUCUAUUCAAAUAGAAGCACUCUAGACAAUGGCCAACUCCUCCCCUUGAGAACUGGUUUAGCAAGGGAGAUCGCCUAGCAAUUACAUCAUUUGGUAAGGGUCGGUGAUUGCCAGAGGAGGUUGAUCAGAGAGUCACCUGAAAGAUGAGAUGAGAAAGUUAUAAAAGGGCAGGAGCUGUUCUACUCUGGGUCUUUGGCCAUUUUCACCUGCUCCAGCUCAGGGGAGUUGCUACAGGAGCCUGGUGAGACAGAGAGGCUGGUAGGGAGAGGGAACAAACUCUCCCUCUCUGAAUGCAGAUGGACCCCCAAGAGAAGUAUGAGCUAGAGUGAGGGGCCCUGCAUUCUGUGUGUUCACUGUUUUCUAAAUGAUCUCUUGUGCUUUAUCUCCUAAGUAAAGAAUUAUGGUGUUUUAGAAUCCUAUGAAGAGUUUGUCUGUUGGCUUUCACUAACGUGUGUCCCUGAAGAGGAAAGCUGUGAAUCAGAAGGCUCACACCUUCAGUGGAAUUCUGGGGAACAUAGAAGAGCUGCUGGUGAGACUUGGGGGAGAUGGCACUAGUUUCAGUGCCUAUGCAAGUGUAUUGUGGGGGUUCCCAUGGCCAAGAGGAGUGUCAGAUAUGAGGUGUGUACCUAGCGUGUGUGCCAAGAGGCCCAAAUCUGGGAAUAGUGCCAAAACUUUGCCCCAUCCCAGCAAGCUAAAGGCACAUGCCGUAGCUGUACCUGUUCUAUGGAUAACCUGAGGAAUUCGGCUCCAGAGCUAUUAAUUCAGCCCCUUUUCACCAGCACUAAAAAUUCACACCCAGAAAAUUAUUUUGGAAAACAAUUUUUUUUUUCAAAACCAGAACGACUGAGACGAAGUCAAGAGUACAUUUUUAGUCAGAAGACAACAUCUCUGUAACAGACUCCUUGUUGUGUACGUUUUAAUAUAUUGUUAAGGACCUACAAAUACUUCAGUUUUUCAUUGAAAUGCCCCUGUUGACAGACAAAAAAUUAAAGA